rfam:Klebsormidium nitens DNA, contig: KFL_1016.
UCCUGGUUAGCUCAGUUGGCUAGAGCGCAAGGCUGUUAACCUUGAGGUCGCUGGUUCGACCCCAGCACCAGGAG